AUCUCGCAGUUAAGUUGAGGGACCUCCGGUGAACUUAUUCCUAUCUUUUUCGCUUGAAACGGACAUUGCUCUCGGCGCGCGUAUCAUCAUCGGGCUCCAGUGCUCCAAGGCCCGGCCACGCGUGCAUCCCAACGCCAUCUCCCGUGCGCGCGCGCGUCGUCGCAGCAGCCUUUGGUUCUGGAUCGCUUGCCGACGUCCCGUCCCCGGUGCAAGGACUAUGGGGCGUUUCUUCGUUGAAAAUUUGGAGAUGGAUUGAAGUUGGAUAUACGUGUAUUUCUCGUUGGAGCCCAAAAGUAUAGGAAUAAUGGGGUUGCUGAAUUCCUGAAUGUCGCGGAGAAUGAUAAGAGAACUAGAAUGAGUGAAUAUUAUGGGCCUCCUAUUUUUAACAUGGGAAACUCUACAUGUUACAACACCAUUCUCUGUAAUAAUAGAUGAUAAACAUGGGCAGAUUACAGUAUAAUGGCCAGCGUCAGGCGAUACUGAUGACUUUCGGCUAAAACUAUAGCGAAACUGCUUAUCCAUAUAUUAGAACACCAUGAUCUAAGUAUAAUUAGCAUAUUAUGACAC